rnacentral:lncRNA from 1 species
UAACCAGGGCCCUACACUGUCCUUCACUGUAACCCUGAGCUCUUCCCAACUAAAAUCCAUACUCUUCCCCUAAUUAUGGCACUGGGCUCUCCCUAACAAAAACACUGAGCUUCUUCUAACUAAAUCUUUGACUCUCUCUGGAAAUAAAGACCCAGCGAUGUCCCUAAAUAAGGUCCUGGGUAAUCCCUAAAAGAGGUCAUGCAUAUCUCCCCACCUUUGUCCCUAUUCUAUCCCAAAGGUCCUGUCAAUGUGCCUAACUUAGGCCCUGCACUGUCUUUAACUGAGGACUUACAUUCUCCUUCACUAACAACCUGAGCUCCAACUAACACCCUGUUUCCCUACCUAAGGCUCUACACUGUCCCUAAAUAAGGCCCUAGGAUGUCCUUACCUAAGGUCCUGCACUAACCCUAACUCAUGCUCUAAGCUUUCUCUAAUUAAGGUCCUAUCUCUUUACUGAAUUUAGGCCCAGCCACAUCCAUAUCUAAAGCCCUAAACCCUCUCCAACUAAGACCUUCGGCUGAUUAUAUUAAGGACCCUGACUCUGUCCUAAGUAAGCACCAGUUGUUAUCCCAAAUGAGGCCUUUCAAUCUUCUAAAGGUUGUACACGGUCUCUACCUAAAGCCCUGUUUUUUCCAUAACUAAUGCCAUGAUCUGUCCCUACUAAGGCUCUUAUAUGUCCUUAAAUAAGGGCCUGAGUUAUCUCUAUCUGAGGCUCUGACUUUUUCCCUAAGGCCCUGUGCUAUGUCCUCCAACUAUGGCCUUGACCCAGUCCCUAAGAAAGUCCUAAUUUUGUUCUCAACUAGAUACUGCACUUUCGUUAACAUCAUGCACUCUCCUUAUAAGGCCCUUGCUGUCCAUACCUAAAAUCCUGACACUGUGUCUAACUCAGACCACAUAUUAUUCCUAACUAAGGCCCUUAUGUGUCCCUAAAAGUCCCAGAUUUGCCCUGAGUAAUCUCCAAAGGCCCUGCACUGUCCCUAUCAGCCUUAUGUGUCCUUAACUAAGAUGCAUAUGUGUCCAGAAUUAAGGCCCUGAAUUAUCUCCAACUAUGGCCCUGACUCUGUCCCUAAGAAAAGUCCUGAUGCUGUCCUCGACUUAUACCCUGCACUGUUUCUCAGGACUUGCCUUUUUCCUAAAUAAUGCCCUGUACUAUCCCUAAUUGAGGCCCUGACACUGUUUCUACCUAAGUCCCUAUUCUAUCUCCAACUAAGGCCCUGGCAGUGUGUCUAACUUAGGCCCUGUGCUGUCCCUAUAUAAGGCCCUGGCAUAGCCUUGAACUAUCCCUUGAGCUCUCCAACUAAUAUAUUGAUUUUCUUUAACUGUAACACUGGGUUAUACCUAACUAAGCCUCUGUACUAUCUCUAAAUAAGACCCAUAUAUGUCCUUAAAUAAGGCCUAGAUUUUCUCCAUCUAAGGGCCUGAGUUCUCCUCAACUAUGGCUCUGACUCAGUCUCAACUAAGGCCCUACACUAUGUGCACAGGGCCCUUGACUCUGUCCCUAAGAAAAGCCCUGAACUGUCCCUAAGACUCUAAUAGUGUCCCUAACUAAGGCCCUGAUACUCCCUAAGUUUCUAUAUUGUCCCAAUCAUCUUGAGCACUCUCCAACUAACAUGCCAAAUUUUUCCUUAAUUCUGACCCUGAGCUGUCCUAAACUAAACACCUGAGCCUUCUCUAUAAAGACUUUACUCUCUUCCAAACUAAGGCCCUGGCAUGUCCCUACCAGGCCCUGUGCUAAUCCUAACUCAUACUCUGAGCUGUCUCUAAUUAGAGCCCUGACUCUAACUAAGGCUUGGCCUUUUUCCUAGAUAAAGCCCUAAGCCCUCCCCAACUAAGACCAUCAUCUCUCUCUAGUUAAGGCCCUGACAUUGUCCCUAAGUAAGGACCUGAUGUUGUCCUUAACUGAGGCCCUUCACUUUUCCAAACUAAGGUUAUGUGCUGUCCCUACCUAAAGCCCUGUUCCUUCCCGAACUAAGGACAGCUGUGUCCCUAAGGCUCUGAAAGUGUCCUUAGCUAGGUCCUGAUUAAAUCAGACGAAGGCACUGAGUUUGACUCUGGUUAAGGCCCUACGCUAUGUUCAACCCCAGCCCUGAUUCUCUCCCUAAGUAAAGUCCUAAGGCUAUUUCUAACGGAGGAUCUCCUUGUCACCAACUAUGGCCAUGCUCUGUUCCUAACUAAGGCCCUGUGCUAUCUCCAGCUAUGUCCAGACUCUAUCCCUUAGAAAAGUCUUAAUUCUGUCUUCAACCUAGAGCCUGCAGUGUUGCUAAUGCCAUGCACUGUCCUUAACUAAGGCCCAGUUACGUCCGUUACUAAGGCCUUUGCUGUCCAUCCUAAGGUCCUGACACUGUGCCUAACUCAGGGCCUGUGUUGUCCCUAACUAAACCCUGUGUUAUCCCUAAGACCCUUGAGGAGAGCACAAGAAAGAAGAGCUUAGGCGGUUACAUGUGCCUUACCUACACUCAAACGAAUUCAUUUUGUCCUGUACACGCACCCUACAUCAGUCUGAACUGCAGAUUUUUGGCUUCACCACCUCCACUGAGAGAAUUAGCUUAACCUACUGUGAGACAUCUCCCAUAGGAUUUCCAGAACCACAAAAAUCAGAGAGUUCAUGCUCAUGUGUAAUCACAUUUCAUAGGACCCAGAGAUUGUGUCUAGCGUCCUGGUGACUCUGCUGCAGCAGAGCCACCCAGUUCCCACCACAACCCGUUAGACUUUUCCUGCUCACAGCUACCCUGCACUUCCUAGCCUGCCUACCCCUUGCAGAUUGGGGCACAGUAUCUCCUGUUACCAAUGGGAAGUGGUGGAGGUGUUGAGGCCCUGGGCCAGCCUGCAUCCUAGGACAGAGGGCAUGGUGCCCAUGUGGUCACCCCAUCCCCUUCUGUUGGAGCCCUCCACCUGGAAACAGGGAGGGUAAACAAGGUGGGCAGAGCCUCGGUCCCGACACUGACUUGCCCUACACUCUCACAUGAAGGGGACAGAGACAUCUGGAGCUUCAGCUCAUUGGAGGGGGGGUGCACUUUGUUCUAGCAACAAACCUUUGCCCUAAAAGAUGAAGAGCCUUUGGAGUUCCCAUCGUGGCGCAGUGGUUAAUGAAUCCGACUAGGAACCAUGAGGUUGCAGAUUCGGUCCCUAGCCUUGCUCAGUGGGUUAAAGGAUCCAGCAUUGCCGUGAGCUGUGGUGUAGGUUGCAGAUGCAGCUCGGAUCCCGCAUUGCUGUGGCUCUGGUGUAGGCCGGUGGCUACAGCUCCGAUUAGACCCCUAACCUGGGAACCUCCAUAUGCCACGGGAGUGGCCCUAGAAAAGGCAAAAAGACAAAAAAAAAAAAAAAAAAAAAAAAAAAAAA